rnacentral:rRNA from 1 species
AUGCAGCCAUGCCGCGUGUGUGAAGAAGGUCUUCGGGUUGUAAAGCACUUUCAGUUGUGAGGAAAAGUUAGUAGUUAAUACCUGCUAGCCGUGACGUUAACAACAGAAGAAGCACCGGCUAACUCCGUGCCAGCAGCCGCGGUAAUACGGAGGGUGCGAGCGUUAAUCGGAAUUACUGGGCGUAAAGCGCACGCAGGCGGUUUGUUAAGCUAGAUGUGAAAGCCCCGGGCUCAACCUGGGAUGGUCAUUUAGAACUGGCAGACUAGAGUCUUGGAGAGGGGAGUGGAAUUCCAGGUGUAGCAGUGAAAUGCGUAGAUAUCUGGAGGAACAUCAGUGGCGAAGGCGACUCCCUGGCCAAAGACUGACGCUCAUGUGCGAAAGUGUGGGUAGCGAACAGGAUUAGAUACCCUGGUAGUCCACACCGUAAACGCUGUCUACUAGCUGUUUGUGACUUUAAGCCGUGAGUAGCGAAGCUAACGCGAUAAGUAGACCGCCUGGGGAGUACGGCCGCAAGGUUAAAACUCAAAUGAAUUGACGGGGGCCCACACAAGCGGUGGAGCACGUGGUUUAAUUCGAUGCAACGCGAAGAACCUUACCUACACUUGACAUGCAGAGAACUUUCCAGAGAUGGAUUGGUGCCUUCGGGAACUCUGACACAGGUGCUGCAUGGCUGUCGUCAGCUCGUGUCGUGAGAUGUUGGGUUAAGUCCCGCAACGAGCGCAACCCUUGUCCUUAGUUGCCAGCAUUCAGUUGGGCACUCUAAGGAGACUGCC